rnacentral:rRNA from 1 species
CCUACGGGAGGCAGCAGUGGGGAAUAUUGGACAAUGGGCGAAAGCCUGAUCCAGCCAUGCCGCGUGUGUGAAGAAGGCCUUCGGGUUGUAAAGCACUUUCAGUGGGGAAGAAAGCCUUGGGGCUAAUACCCUCGAGGAAGGACAUCACCCACAGAAGAAGCACCGGCUAACUCCGUGCCAGCAGCCGCGGUAAUACGGAGGGUGCGAGCGUUAAUCGGAAUUACUGGGCGUAAAGCGCGCGUAGGCGGUCUGAUAAGCCGGUUGUGAAAGCCCCGGGCUCAACCUGGGAACGGCAUCCGGAACUGUCAGGCUAGAGUGCAGGAGAGGAAGGCAGAAUUCCCGGUGUAGCGGUGAAAUGCGUAGAGAUCGGGAGGAAUACCAGUGGCGAAGGCGGCCUUCUGGACUGACACUGACGCUGAGGUGCGAAAGCGUGGGUAGCAAACAGGAUUAGAUACCCGAGUAGUC